GGGGAAUCUUGCACAAUGGGGGAAACCCUGAUGCAGCGACGCCGCGUGAACGAUGAAGCCCUUCGGGGUGUAAAGUUCUUUCGACAGGAACGAUAAUGACGGUACCUGGAGAAGAAGCUGCGGCUAACUACGUGCCAGCAGCCGCGGUAAUACGUAGGCAGCGAGCGUUGUUCGGAGUUACUGGGCGUAAAGAGUGCGUAGGCGGCGAGCCAAGUUUGGUGUGAAAUCUCCCGGCUUAACCGGGAGGGUGCGCCGAAAACUGGUUGGCUGGAGUAUGGGAGAGGAAAGCGGAAUUCCUGGUGUAGCGGUGGAAUGCGUAGAUAUCAGGAGGAACGCCUGCGGUGUAGACAGCUUUCUGGACCAAAACUGACGCUGAGGCACGAAGGCGUGGGUAGCAAACA
rnacentral:rRNA from 1 species